AUGUACUUCCAUGUACAUUCCGGUUCCUGCGCGCCGGGCUCCCCCGUCUGAAGCUCGCUCGCUACGACUUCUGUC
rnacentral:sRNA from 1 species